GACGAACGCUGGCGGCGUGCUUAACACAUGCAAGUCGAGCGGUAAGGCCCUUUCGGGGGUACACGAGCGGCGAACGGGUGAGUAACACGUGGGUGACCUGCCCUUAGCUCUGGGAUAAGCCUGGGAAACUGGGUCUAAUACCGGAUAUGACUCCAUGACGCAUGUUGUGGGGUGGAAAGCCUUGUGCGGCUAGGGAUGGGCCCGCGGCCUAUCAGCUUGUUGGUGGGGUGAUGGCCUACCAAGGCGACGACGGGUAGCCGGCCUGAGAGGGCGACCGGCCACACUGGGACUGAGACACGGCCCAGACUCCUACGGGAGGCAGCAGUGGGGAAUCUUGCGCAAUGGGCGAAAGCCCUGACGCAGCGACGCCGCGUGGGGAUGACGGCCU
rnacentral:rRNA from 1 species